rnacentral:rRNA from 1 species
UUGGGCGCUAAGCGCGCGCAAGUGGUUUCUUAAGUCUGAUGUGAAAGCCCACGGCCUCAACCGUGGAGGGUCAUUGGAAACUGGGGAACUUGAGUGCAGAAGAGGAAAGUGGAAUUCCNAGUGUAGCGGUGAAAUGCGUAGAGAUUUGGAGGAACACCNGUGGCGAAGGCGACUUUCUGGUCUGUAACUGACACUGAGGCGCGAAAGCGUGGGGAGCGAACAGGAUUAGAUACCCUGGUAGUCCACGCCGUAAACGAUGAGUGCUAAGUGUUAGAGGGUUUCCGCCCUUUAGUGCUGCAGCUAACGCAUUAAGCACUCCGCCUGGGGAGUACGGUCGCAAGACUGAAACUCAAAGGAAUUGACGGGGGCCCGCACAAGCGGUGGAGCAUGUGGUUUAAUUCGAAGCAACGCGAAGAACCUUACCAGGUCUUGACAUCCCAUUGCCCGGUAUAGAGAUAUACCUUUCCCUUCGGGGACAGUGGUGACAGGUGGUGCAUGGUUGUCGUCA